rnacentral:rRNA from 1 species
GAUGAACGCUGGCGGCGUGCCUAAUACAUGCAAGUCGAGCGAACAGACGAGGAGCUUGCUCCUCUGACGUUAGCGGCGGACGGGUGAGUAACACGUGGAUAACCUACCUAUAAGACUGGGAUAACUUCGGGAAACCGGAGCUAAUACCGGAUAAUAUAUUGAACCGCAUGGUUCAAUAGUGAAAGACGGUUUUGCUGUCACUUAUAGAUGGAUCCGCGCCGCAUUAGCUAGUUGGUAAGGUAACGGCUUACCAAGGCAACGAUGCGUAGCCGACCUGAGAGGGAGAUCGGCCACACUGGAACUGAGACACGGUCCAGACUCCUACGGGAGGCAGCAGUAGGGAAUCUUCCGCAAUGGGCGAAAGCCUGACGGAGCAACGCCGCGUGAGUGAUGAAGGUCUUCGGAUCGUAAAACUCUGUUAUUAGGGAAGAACAAAUGUGUAAGUAACUAUGCACGUCUUGACGGUACCUAAUCAGAAAGCCGCGGCUAACUACGUG